AGGUGCAGAGAGUCGACUCCGCAUAAAAUAUGAUGGAUCCACUGACAAAGUCUCUCAACCAGCAGAAGAUCGAAGCUCACCUUGAAAAGAUGGGUUUUAGAUUUAUGGUCAAUUGGUUUUAGGUCAAGUGGGAGUUUGUUAGAUAUGUAUCCUAGAAAGUCAAUUGUUGGCUGACACAUUUAUAUUUUCAAAACUUAUAUUUGAACUUGUAAAACUUUUAUUAUUAAUAAA
rnacentral:lncRNA from 1 species